GGAGAGGUGUCCGAGCGGUUUAUGGUGCCGGUCUUGAAAACCGGUGUGGUUAGUAGCCACCGUGGGUUCGAAUCCCACCUUCUCCG
rnacentral:tRNA from 2 species